rnacentral:rRNA from 1 species
UACGAAGGGGGCCAGCGUUGCUCGGAAUCACUGGGCGUAAAGCGCACGUAGGCGGAUUGUUAAGUCAGUGGUGAAAUCCUGCAGCUCAACUGCAGAACUGCCAUUGAUACUGUUGUUCUUGAAUACAACUGAUGUGGGCGGAAUGUGCCAUGUAGUGGUGAAAUUCGUAGAUAUUCGCAAGAACACCAGUGGCGAAGGCGGCUCACUGGCCCGGUACUGACGCUGAGGUGCGAAAGCGUGGGGAGCAAACAGG